GUCAGUGAUCAGGAACUGCCCUUCCACUACGUAUAUUCGAACGUUGUUAUCUGUGGUAUAUUUAACUCAAGUAGGUAACGUUAUCCAGUUAGUGACGUUUUAUGAUGCCAUCAUGAAAAUGUUCUUUUUCCAACAUCUUUCCUGUAUUCUUACGCCAGUGGGAAAUUCAAACACACUGGGAUGCAUAAAAAAGCAAAAGCAAAACUGUCCCAUUAUGCAUACAUAAUGCUAUAACUAGGUUGUGAUGGCUUGAAGAUGACAUCAAAAAUGAAGAUUAUGGCAGGAUAGAUAUAUUGAAAUAAGGAUGACAUUACAUUUUGUUUUAAAGUGUGUUAGUGUUUAUAAUUAAUGUUCUGGAUAUCCAGAUAUGCAUUUUCAUCUAUCGAACAAUUCUAUUAAUUAGGAAUUGCAACAAUUGUUAAUAUAUGGUAUAUAUAACAUCCUUUCAUUAAUAAACUCAAUUUAUUAACAGCAAUUUUGAAUCUCUGAUUUAAUUAAAAUCUAGUUCCAGAUUACAGUUAUUAUUGUGUUUAAUCUGUAAAAUAGUCUCCUUCUCAAAGGAGUGGAUAUAGUGUCACUAAAGAAUUCCAAUAUAUUUAAAAUAUGGACCUGCAAUCUCUGUUUAUAAAAGAGAGUAUGAAGAUAAAUAAAAACACACUACUAUUAUUA